UGUGACCAUACCACUUGUUGCCUCGGCGGAUCAGCCCGCUCCCGGUAAAACGGGACGGCCCGCCAGAGGACCCCUAAACUCUGUUUCUAUAUGUAACUUCUGAGUAAAACCAUAAAUAAAUCAAAACUUUCAACAACGGAUCUCUUGGUUCUGGCAUCGAUGAAGAACGCAGCAAAAUGCGAUAAGUAAUGUGAAUUGCAGAAUUCAGUGAAUCAUCGAAUCUUUGAACGCACAUUGCGCCCGCCAGUAUUCUGGCGGGCAUGCCUGUUCGAGCGUCAUUUCAACCCUCAAGCACAGCUUGGUGUUGGGACUCGCGUUAAUUCGCGUUCCUCAAAUUGAUUGGCGGUCACGUCGAGCUUCCAUAGCGUAGUAGUAAAACCCUCGUUACUGGUAAUCGUCGCGGCCACGCCGUUAAACCCCAACUUCUGAAUGUUGACCUCGGAUCAGGUAGGAAUACCCGCUGAACUUAAGCAUAUC
rnacentral:rRNA from 1 species